GACGACCGCUGGCGGCGUGCCUAAUACAUGCAAGUAGAACGCAGUUGCGAACGGGUGAGUAACGCGUCGGUAACUGCCUGGUAGCGGGGGAUAACUAUUGGAAACGAUAGCUAAUACCGCAUACUACCAGAUGGACCUGCGUUGUAUUAGCUAGUUGGUGAGGUAACGGCUCACCAAGGCAACGAUACAUAGCCGAGCUGAGGUGGUGAACGGCCACACGGGGACUGAGGCACGGCCCAGACUCCUACGGGAGGCAGGAGGAGGGAAUCUGCGGAAAUGGGGGGAACCCUGACCGAGCAACGGCGGGUGAGUGAAGAAGGGUUGCGGAUCGUAAAGCUCUGUUGUGAAGGAAGCGGUACUUACCCAGAAAGGGACGGCUAACUACGUGCCAGCAGCCGCGGUAAUUC
rnacentral:rRNA from 1 species